rnacentral:rRNA from 1 species
ACACAUGCAAGUCGAGGGGCAGCAUGGUCUUAGCUUGCUAAGGCCGAUGGCGACCGGCGCACGGGUGAGUAACGCGUAUCCAACCUGCCUUACACUCUUGGACAGCCUUCUGAAAGGGAGAUUAAUACAAGAUGUUAUCAUGAGUAAGCAUUUUCGCAUGAUUAAAGGUUUACCGGUGUAAGAUGGGGAUGCGUUCCAUUAGAUAGUAGGCGGGGUAACGGCCCACCUAGUCUUCGAUGGAUAGGGGUUCUGAGAGGAAGGUCCCCCACAUUGGAACUGAGACACGGUCCAAACUCCUACGGGAGGCAGCAGUGAGGAAUAUUGGUCAAUGGACGAGAGUCUGAACCAGCCAAGUAGCGUGAAGGAUGAAGGUUCUAUGGAUUGUAAACUUCUUUUAUACGGGAAUAAACGGAUCCACGUGUGGAUUUUUGCAUGUACCGUAUGAAUAAGGAUCGGCUAACUCCGUGCCAGCAGCCGCGGUAAUACGGAGGAUCCGAGCGUUAUCCGGAUUUAUUGGGUUUAAAGGGAGCGUAGAUGGGUUGUUAAGUCAGUUGUGAAAGUUUGCGGCUCAACCGUAAAAUUGCAAUUGAUACUGGCAGUCUUGAGUACAGUUGAGG